UGGCGAACAUUUUUUUUUUUUUGCACUCGUGAAAGGGUCUCGACUAUGCGAACUUCGUGGGCAGAUUUAGCUGCAAGCUCGGCGGCUGAGAAUGUAGCUGCUGGUUCUGCUAACAAUUGUGGUGCUGGAACUACUACAGCACCUGGCCGAUCGGCCUAUGUUCCACCACAUCUGCGGAAUCGUCCAGCCUCUUCCGAUCCGCCUGCUGCAGCAAAUAGUGGGCCUGCUGUGGGAAACGACCGUUCUGGGCAUGUAGGGUCCCGCUGG
rnacentral:misc_RNA from 1 species